GCUUGUCUCAAAGAUUAAGCCAUGCAUGUCUAAGUGUAAAUAAGUCUAUACUGUGAAACUGCGAAUGGCUCAUUAAAUCAGUUAUCGUUUAUUUGAUGAUCUCUUACUACUUGGAUAACCGUAGUAAUUCUAGAGCUAAUACAUGCACAAAAUCCCGACUUACGAAGGGAUGUAUUUAUUAGAUACAAACCAACAUCGUGGUGAUUCAUAAUAACUUUUCGAACCUCAUGCCUUUAUGGUGGAGGUGAUUCAUUCAAAUUUCUGCCCUAUCAACUUUCGAUGGUAAGGUAUUGGCUUACCAUGGUUGCAACGGGUAACGGAGAAUUAGGGUUCGAUUCCGGAGAGGGCGCCUGAGAAAUGGCGACCACAUCCAAGGAAGGCAGCAGG
rnacentral:rRNA from 1 species